CACACUAUCAUUAACUGAAUCCAUAGGUUAAUGAGGCGAACCGGGGGAACUGAAACAUCUAAGUACCCCGAGGAAAAGAAAUCAACCGAGAUUCCCCCAGUAGCGGCGAGCGAACGGGGAGCAGCCCAGAGCCUGAAUCAGUGUGUGUGUUAGUGGAAGCGUCUGGAAAGGCGCGCGAUACAGGGUGACAGCCCCGUACACAAAAAUGCACAUGCUGUGAGCUCGAUGAGUAGGGCGGGACACGUGGUAUCCUGUCUGAAUAUGGGGGGACCAUCCUCCAAGGCUAAAUACUCCUGACUGACCGAUAGUGAACCAGUACCGUGAGGGAAAGGCGAAAAGAACCCCGGCGAGGGGAGUGAAAAAGAACCUGAAACCGUGUACGUACAAGCAGUGGGAGCACAGAGCAAUCUGUGUGACUGCGUACCUUUUGUAUAAUGGGUCAGCGACUUAUAUUCUGUAGCAAGGUUAACCGAAUAGGGGAGCCGAAGGGAAACCGAGUCUUAACUGGGCGUUAAGUUGCAGGGUAUAGACCCGAAACCCGGUGAUCUAGCCAUGGGCAGGUUGAAGGUUGGGUAACACUAACUGGAGGACCGAACCGACUAAUGUUGAAAAAUUAGCGGAUGACUUGUGGCUGGGGGUGAAAGGCCAAUCAAACCGGGAGAUAGCUGGUUCUCCCCGAAAGCUAUUUAGGUAGCGCCUCGUGAAUUCAUCUCCGGGGGUAGAGCACUGUUUCGGCAAGGGGGUCAUCCCGACUUACCAACCCGAUGCAAACUGCGAAUACCGGAGAAUGUUAUCACGGGAGACACACGGCGGGUGCUAACGUCCGUCGUGAAGAGGGAAACAACCCAGACCGCCAGCUAAGGUCCCAAAGUCAUGGUUAAGUGGGAAACGAUGUGGGAAGGCCCAGACAGCCAGGAUGUUGGCUUAGAAGCAGCCAUCAUUUAAAGAAAGCGUAAUAGCUCACUGGUCGAGUCGGCCUGCGCGGAAGAUGUAACGGGGCUAAACCAUGCACCGAAGCUGCGGCAGCGACGCUUAUGCGUUGUUGGGUAGGGGAGCGUUCUGUAAGCCUGUGAAGGUGUGCUGUGAGGCAUGCUGGAGGUAUCAGAAGUGCGAAUGCUGACAUAAGUAACGAUAAAGCGGGUGAAAAGCCCGCUCGCCGGAAGACCAAGGGUUCCUGUCCAACGUUAAUCGGGGCAGGGUGAGUCGACCCCUAAGGCGAGGCCGAAAGGCGUAGUCGAUGGGAAACAGGUUAAUAUUCCUGUACUUGGUGUUACUGCGAAGGGGGGACGGAGAAGGCUAUGUUGGCCGGGCGACGGUUGUCCCGGUUUAAGCGUGUAGGCUGGUUUUCCAGGCAAAUCCGGAAAAUCAAGGCUGAGGCGUGAUGACGAGGCACUACGGUGCUGAAGCAACAAAUGCCCUGCUUCCAGGAAAAGCCUCUAAGCAUCAGGUAACAUCAAAUCGUACCCCAAACCGACACAGGUGGUCAGGUAGAGAAUACCAAGGCGCUUGAGAGAACUCGGGUGAAGGAACUAGGCAAAAUGGUGCCGUAACUUCGGGAGAAGGCACGCUGAUAUGUAGGUGAAG
rnacentral:rRNA from 1 species